CAGUGAGGGUUUCGGCCCGACCUCCAACCCUUUGUGAAUCAAACCUGUUGCUUCGGGGGCGACCCUGCCGUUCGCGGCGCGGCGCCCCCGGGGGAAAUCAAACACUGCGUCAAUUUGUGUCGGAGUACUUGUUAAUAAACAAAACUUUCAACAACGGAUCUCUUGGUUCUGGCAUCGAUGAAGAACGCAGCGAAAUGCGAUAAGUAAUGUGAAUUGCAGAAUUCAGUGAAUCAUCGAAUCUUUGAACGCACAUUGCGCCCCGUGGUAUUCCGCGGGGCAUGCCUGUUCGAGCGUCAUUUCACCACUCGAGUCUGACUCGGUAUUGGGCGUCGCGUUUCGAUGCGCGCCUUAAAGUUUCCGGCUGGACCGUCCGUCUCCGAGCGUUGUGGCAUCUGUCUCGCUAGGGAGCCGCGGAGGGCGUUGGCCGUUAAACACCCCAUCAAAGGUUGACCUCGGAUCAGGUAGGGAUACCCGCUGAACUUAAGCAUAUCAAUAAGCGGGAGGAAA
rnacentral:rRNA from 1 species